rnacentral:rRNA from 1 species
CCUACGGGUGGCAGCAGUGGGGAAUAUUGCGCAAUGGGCGAAAGCCUGACGCAGCAACGCCGCGUGGAGGAUGAAGGUUUUCGGAUUGUAAACUCCUUUUGUUAGGGACGAAAAUAACGAUGUCUAACGAGUAAGAACCGACUAACACCGUGCCAGCAGCCGCGGUAAUAAGGCGGGUGCAAGAGUUACUCGGAAUUACUGGGCGUAAAGAGCGUGUAGGCGGGAUAGCAAGUCAGAUGUGAAAUCCUAUGGCUCAACCAGAGAACUGCAGUUGAAACUGUGAUUCUAGAGUAUGGGAGAGGUAGAUGGAAUUCUUGGUGUAGCGGUAAAAUGCGUAGAGAUUAAGAGGAACACCCAUGGCGAAGGCGAUCUGCUAGACCACAACUGACGCUGAGGCGCGAAAGCGUGGGGAGCAAACAGGAUUAGAUACCCCUGUAGUC